rnacentral:rRNA from 1 species
AUGUGGUCGGCGGUUGAGGGAGGGUCUCCGACUAGAGCAGCAGGAGCAAGGAGCUCAAGGAGGUUCAGUUUGCUGGUCCAUAUUAAUUUCCUCGAGCUUAUUUUCACAUCUCGUCAUAUUUACACCUCUCCGCCGACUGCCACCUAUCAUGGAGGGAGAUGGCUUGGCCAGGCCGUCAAGACCCAUCGGCAACUUCCAGCAGGCGUCGUCCCGUACUUCUGCAUGAUAUUCCUCUUGUUGCAACCUUUUCCCAUAGAAUCAAAAGGAAUUAGAUUGAAGAAAUUGCAGGAGGAAGGGUAUUCCUGGUGUGACAUUCAAAAGCAGUCAAAACGGUGA